rnacentral:rRNA from 1 species
GACGAACGCUGGCGGCGUGCCUAAUACAUGCAAGUAGAACGCACGGUUUAUACCGUCGCUUGCUACACCAUAGACUGUGAGUUGCGAACGGGUGAGUAACGCGUAGGUAACCUGCCUGGUAGCGGGGGAUAACUAUUGGAAACGAUAGCUAAUACCGCAUAAUAUUAAUUAUUGCAUGAUAAUUAAUUGAAAGGUGCAAUUGCACCACUACCAGAUGGACCUGCGUUGUAUUAGCUAGUAGGUGAGGUAACGGCUCACCUAGGCGACGAUACAUAGCCGACCUGAGAGGGUGAUCGGCCACACUGGGACUGAGACACGGCCCAGACUCCUACGGGAGGCAGCAGUAGGGAAUCUUCGGCAAUGGACGAAAGUCUGACCGAGCAACGCCGCGUGAGUGAAGAAGGUUUUCGGAUCGUAAAGCUCUGUUGUAAGAGAAGAACGGGUGUGAGAGUGGAAAGUUCACACUGUGACGGUAUCUUACCAGAAAGGGACGGCUAACUACGUG